ACCUGCGUGGGGAGGCCUCCUGGACCCGCCUCACAGGGCCCCGCCUAAUCCGAGGAGACUGCACCGCGCGGCGCCUGGGCAGGGCUCGGGAUCCCACGACCGCGCCGUGAGGCCGGAAGGCCCGGAGGCCCGGAGGCCCCAGAGGCCUAGAGACCCAGGGGCUUAGAGACCCGCAGGCAUGGAGGCCCAGAGACCCGGAGGCACAGAGGCCAGGAGACCCAGAGGCUUAGAGACCCCGAGGCCGGGAGACCCAGAGACCCAGAGACCUACAGACCCGGAGGCACAGAGGCCCGGAGACCCCGAGGCUUAGAGACCUGCAGGCAUGGAGGCCCAUAGACCCGGAGGCCAGGAGACCCAGAGGCCUAGAGACCGGGAGACCCAGAGGCCCAGAGACCCGGAGGCCGGGAGACCCCGAGGCUUAGAGACCCGCAGGCAUGGAGGCCCAUAGACCCGGAGGCCAGGAGACCCAGAGGCCUAGAGACCGGGAGACCCAGAGGCCCAGAGACCCGGAGGCCGGGAGACCCCGAGGCUUAGAGACCCGCAGGCAUGGAGGCCCAAAGACCUGGAGGCCAGGAGACCCAGAGGCCUAGAGACCUGGAGGCACAGAGACCCGGCCUGGAGGCCCGGAGACCCAGGGGCUGGAAGGCACGGAGGCCAGGAAACCCAGAGGCCUAGAGACCCAGAGGCCUACAGACCCGGAGGCACAGAGACAGAGACCCAGAGGCCUAGAGACCCAGAGGCCAGGAGACCCAGAGGCCUACAGACCCAGAGGCACAGAGGCCUGGAGACUUGGACGCACAGAGACCCGGAGACCCAGAGGCAGGCCUAGAGACCCAAAGGCCGGGAGACCUAGAGGCCUAGAGGCCUAGAGACCCAAAGGCCGGGAGACCCAGAGGCCUAGAGACCCGGAGGCCAGGAGACCCAGAGGCUUAGAGACCCUCAAGCAUGGAGGCCCAGAGACCCGGAGACGGGGCGGGGACCCGGAGGCCGAAUGCCCAGAGACUCAGAGGCCUAGAGACUCGGAGGCACGCGCAUGUCACCCGCGUGUCAAAAAGGCAUCAUGGUGUCUGGCUUAAAAAGCAGUAACUAAUUGUUCCGAUUUCUAGUAGCACGUUAAUUGUGGCGUUUAAUUUACUGUUUUCCUCAUUAGAGGUUUUUAGUUUUGAGGAAGCGAUGCUGCGUUUCAGUCACGCUGGGAUGAAAAUAGCCUAGCAAACUUAUUUUUGUUCCUAGUCGCCUUCAGCAUCCUUCGUGCCAGUUCUACAGUCAUUAAGUUUUACAACGUGUUAGGUUGGUGGCAGUUUAAACAGAUACACAGGAUUUUGGCAAUCUGUUCCAUUUUUAAAAUAAAGAUUAGUGCUUUUUCCUUUUUCCUUUUUUUUUCUUUUUUUCCCUAAGUACCUUAACUUUUGGACAUACCUUCUGCCUUCCUUUUUAACCAGAACUCUUCCCCCCCACACACCCCCACCCCCCGCGGUGAUGAGAAGAAAAGUAUGUGCUGGUCACCAGAGGAAAAGCAAAGAUCAUAAACCCUGCCAACAAAGCACAUGAGAAAGCUUUCCCGGUUUGGGAUGAUACAUUUGAAACAAAUAGCCAUUGUGUACUCAGGGUUAUGCAAAUUCUUGUCAGACUAGCUGUAACUUCUAUGAACCACCCUCAAAAAAGAAAAAAAAAUCAGAAUGCAAGUUCAUGAAAGUGAAGAUAUGGGGCAACAAAUAUUUUAUUUAUUUAUGCAUGAGAGACAGAUAGAAAGAGAGGCAGAGACACAGGCAGAGGGAGACGCAAGCUCCAUGCUGGGAACCGACAUGGGACUCGAUCACAGGUCUCCAGGAUCACACCCUGGGCCGAAGGCGGCACUAAACUGCUGAACCACCCGGGCUGCCCGAGAUUUAUUUCUUAUUCCAAAAUGUUGGCUCUGGCUGCAGUGAACUGUCUUCCAUGUGAUGACAUGAUAAUCUAGGCUCUUUCAACUGUUAUGCCCAAGAUUGGGAAUCCGAGAAACCACCAAGGAGCUGGCACCGAUAUUUUAUUUAUUCAUGAGAGACACACAGAGAGAGGCAGAGACAUAGGCAGAGGGAGAAGCAGACCCUCUGCAGAAAGCCUGAUGCAGGACUCCAGCCCAAGACCCGGGAUCACGCCCUGAAGGGAAUGCUCAACCACUGAGCCACCCAGGCAUCCUGAAUUAAACUUUUUCAUCAAAUGAAUUCACAGUGGAUUUCCAGUGUUCAGUUGAGAUAUAUGCAGAGAGAAGCAGAGGGAGAAGCAGGCUCCCUGCAGGGAGCCCGAUGUGGGGCUCGAUCCCGGAUCCUGAGAUCACACCCUGAGCCAAAGGCAGACGCUCAACUGCUGAGCCACCCAGGCAUCCCUGUAUGCACAAUAUUAAAGAAAUUACUACCUAUGUUUUUUUCUAGAAGUUUUAUGGUUUCAUGCCUCACAUUUAGGUACUUAAUCCAUUUUAAAUUUAUUUUUGUGUAUGGUAUAAGAAACUGGUCCUGUUUUAUUCUUUGGUAUAUAGCUGUCCGGAUUUUCCAGCACCAUUUAUUGAAGAUUCUGUGUUUUCCCCAUUGUAUAUUCUUGCCUCCUUCAUGGUAGAUUAAUUGACAAUAUAAGUGUGGGUUUAUUUCUGAGCUCUCUAUUCUGUUCUAUUGAUCUGUGUGUCUAUUUUUGUGCCAUGCCUAAGACCACUUUUGAUGAAGCCAUCACAGAACUUAAUGCACUGAAUGAAGACUCAAACAAAGCACCCUUAUAAUGCAGUAGCUUAGUGACAACCUAACAUUGUGGACAUUGGACAAUGCAGAAGAAGAAUGUGAGGUACAGAAGGGGCAGAAAACUAAAUGUAUUCAGGGUGUUAUCCUUUUUUCCUUCAAGAAACCUUUCUACAUGUCUCCAUUCCUUGGAUUUUCUUUUUUUUCUUUAUUUAAUUUUUCUUUAUUUUUAAAAAAGAUUUUAUUUAUUUAUUUGAGAGAGAGCAAGAGAGAGCACAAGCAGAGGAGAGAGACAGAGGGAGAGCAGGGAACCCGACUUAGGGCUCCCUCCCAGGACCCUGAGAUCAUGACCUGAGCUGAA
rnacentral:lncRNA from 1 species